UUCACUUCCUGUUCAACUUACUUCCUUGUUACAUGCAACGAAGACUUGACUGAGCGCCCGUCUCUCCUUUUUAUUCGACAAAAUGAAGGGUAAAAUGUGUUUAUUUCUAACCCUGAUGAUAUCACCCUGUCUUGGAAGAAGCCUAGGUUGCCCUCAAAAAAUCAUAUCAUGCAAAGAGCUAAAGUCUGCGGAUGGUUUUAGUUACUCACAUGAGUGUUCAGAUGCAAAUAAAAUAUUUGUGGACCAAAACGAGACAAAGAUUGCUCGAUACAUGUCUGGACGUUAUGAGUAUUUGCAUCCAUGGAUGAAUCUUAACAAGACUUCAUUCUUCACCAAGAAUUGCACAGACCUGCGAAUAAAGUGCACAGUCCCUUCUGGACGGCAUGUAGAAGAUGUCUGCUUGUCGUAUAAAAUAUAUGAGAACCUACCAACUCCUGUUACCAACGAUUCAUCAGAGAACAUACCGCCAAGUGUUCCAAAGAUUUAAAACUAGGCCUCUUUAUUGGAUCAGUUGGGGUAGCGGCGUUCUUCUUGGCAGUGCUGUGUUGGCGCAAAAACGCAUGCCUAAAAAAGACCCUGUGGGCUCAGAUGGAUGGCAACCACCGCGCUGUCUUCAAGUAAGCAAACAUUCAGAAGCUACUGUGAGCACAGGUCAGUGAAAUUGAAUACAUGCUCGUCUUUUUUUCUCUGUGUCAUUAUAGGUUGAUGCAGCCUGUGAUUGGUCAACGUGCAGCUGAUCAAAAUGGGAGAAAUAGCACGCUUGAGAGCGUGCAAGUUCAAAGUAUUGAUUCUCAAGCUGAUGGAGAGACUCCUCAAACUCCUCAAACUCAAAGUCUGGACAACAUCUACAACAAUGGAACCCAGCUGCCAAAGUUGGAGGCAUAGAUGUCCCUGAUGGAGUCUCUGAACUGCGAUCCAUGCACAGGAACCUGAGAGAUGACCCAGGAGGAGUGACUGACGGCAAAGAGAAAGACAUUGAUGAGAACAGGGACAUGCAGAAUGGACGGCCUCUCGUUGAGCGUGGUCCUAAAGAAGAUGAGAAUGAGAGAAAGCCACUGAUACCAAGUCAGGGAGAUUCCAUCGCACGCUCUGACAUGACAGGUGAAGCUGCAGCUCUGGUGGACAAGAGCUGCCCCGACCCCGACCAGGAUGAUGACGUGAAGUCAGCAUCCAACAUGAAGAAAUUUGGAGUUCAUAAGUACUGAUUUAUAAUAAUAAUAAUAAUGAACACCUUCAGUAUACAUAAAGUGUUCUCACAGUCAGGGUAUGUGGUUAUUUUACUGACAGUCCUUUGGGAUAUGUAACAAUAACUAUGUUGACCACAAGCUGUCCUUACAAAGUUACAUUUUUAAAGACCCUUUAAUCAUGACUUUAUGAUUACAACAUAUUUUAUUCAUUAUGACACCCUGUGGUGUCUUUGUAUUGUGUCCAGAAUAUUCACUGAUACAUGAGCAGUCACACAGGCUGUCUGUUGACUGUGGUCAUCACAGUGAAUAUGAUUUAUUAUAUUUGGCCAAACUUUUUCAUUACCUGGACAAAACAAACAAACAAACAAACAAGUGCAUGGGAUGUUUGUCAUUGAGAUUAUGAAGGGCACAGCUCUACCAAAGUGAACCAGUCAGUAAAGACACCACAUACACAACUGUGAGGCUUAAUAUUACUAUAUAAUGUACAGUAUAAGGAAUGUUUGGUUAGAAAAUCAAAUGUUCCAUAUUAUAUAAUACCUGUUAUAUAUAUAAUACAGGUAGUAUGACAGGGGCGGCUGUGGCUCAGUGGUAGGUUGGGGGUUUGACCCCCAGCUUCUACGGCCACAUGUCGAUGUGUCCUUGGGCAAGACACUUAUCCCUCAAAGUGCUCCCGCUGCUGCGUCAGUGGCAUGUCUAUCAGAUUGAAUGGAUUAGUAAACUUUACAAAGCAGCCUCUGCCUUCUCUGUGUAAGCUGCUGUGUAAAAAGCGCUAGACAAGCGCAUGUCCAUUUAUCAAUAUAUGCAUUUAAAUGGAUCACAAAAUGUAAUGCAUUUUUGUUUUAUUGGAGUUUUAAACAUGUACCUUUAUAUGAUCCUCAUUAUUUUAGUAAGCGUGCCUUUACCCUAUUAUUUCCUGCUUAAUCUAGCAUCAUGUUUAUUCCUAUCUCCUGAUUCAUUCUCUCGUUUUGUAACCUACAUUAUAUCUUAUAUUAUAUCUUAAAUCAUAUUUUGACCAUGUGUUUUCUUUUGUUGUUGUAUUGCAUUUACUUUUAGAUUGGCAAAUUUGAUGAUCAUAACAUUUUCUGUAUGUUUGUAAGGAACUAUUGUUAUAUUUACAUGGAGUUGGAAAUAAAUUGUUCAUUCCACCCUAGAUUUUA